AACGAACGCUGGCGGCAGGCUUAACACAUGCAAGUCGAACGGUUGUAGCAAUACAGCAGUGGCGCACGGGUGAGUAACACGUGGGAAUAUCCCUUUCAGUACGGAAUAACGUCGGGAAACUGACGCUAAUACCGUAUGCACCUCCGGGUGAAAGAUUUAUCGCUGAAAGAUUAGCCCGCGUCAGAUUAGCUAGUUGGUGGGGUAACGGCCUACCAAGGCUCCGAUCUGUAGCUGGUCUUAGAGGACGAUCAGCCACACUGGAACUGAGACACGGUCCAGACUCCUACGGGAGGCAGCAGUGGGGAAUAUUGGACAAUGGGGGAAACCCUGAUCCAGCCAUGCCGCGUGAGUGAUGAAGGCCUUCGGGUUGUAAAGCUCUUUUGUCAGGGAAGAUGAUGACUGUACCUGAAGAAUAAGCCCCGGCUAACUUCGUGCCAGCCGCCGCGGUAAGAC
rnacentral:rRNA from 1 species